CUGGCGGCGUGCCUAAUACAUGCAAGUCGAACGGUCUUUCUAUGGAAGCUUGCUUCCACUGAGAAGAUAGUGGCGAACGGGUGAGUAACACGUGGGUAACCUGCCCAUAAGAGGGGGAUAACAUCCGGAAACGGGUGCUAAUACCGCAUAGUUUUCUUGGUCGCAUGAUCGGGAAAGGAAAGACGGCCUUUGUGCUGUCGCUUAUGGAUGGACCCGCGGCGUAUUAGUUAGUUGGUGAGGUAACGGCUCACCAAGACGAUGAUACGUAGCCGACCUGAGAGGGUGAUCGGCCACAUUGGGACUGAGACACGGCCCAAACUCCUACGGGAGGCAGCAGUAGGGAAUCUUCCGCAAUGGACGAAAGUCUGACGGAGCAACGCCGCGUGAGUGAAAGAAGGUUUUCGGAUCGUAAAACUCUGUUGUCAGAGAAGAACAAGUUGGAGAGUAACUGCUCCAGCCUUGACGGUAUCUGACCAGAAAGCCACGGCUAACUACGUGCCAGCCGCCGC
rnacentral:rRNA from 1 species